UGGCUCAGGAUGAACGCUAGCUACAGGCUUAACACAUGCAAGUCGAGGGGCAUCAGGAAGAAAGCUUGCUUUCUUUGCUGGCGACCGGCGCACGGGUGAGUAACACGUAUCCAACCUGCCCUUUACUCGGGGAUAGCCUUUCGAAAGAAAGAUUAAUACCCGAUAGCAUAAUGAUUCCGCAUGGUUUCAUUAUUAAAGGAUUCCGGUAAAGGAUGGGGAUGCGUUCCAUUAGGUUGUUGGUGAGGUAACGGCCCACCAAGCCUUCGAUGGAUAGGGGUUCUGAGAGGAAGGUCCCCCACAUUGGAACUGAGACACGGUCCAAACUCCUACGGGAGGCAGCAGUGAGGAAUAUUGGUCAAUGGGCGCUAGCCUGAACCAGCCAAGUAGCGUGAAGGAUGAAGGCUCUAUGGGUCGUAAACUUCUUUUAUAUAAGAAUAAAGUGCAGUAUGUAUACUGUUUUGUAUGUAUUAUAUGAAUAAGGAUCGGCUAACUCCGUGCCAGCAGCCGCGGUAAUACGGAGGAUCCGAGCGUUAUCCGGAUUUAUUGGGUUUAAAGGGAGCGUAGGUGGACUGGUAAGUCAGUUGUGAAAGUUUGCGGCUCAACCGUAAAAUUGCAGUUGAUACUGUCAGUCUUGAGUACAGUAGAGGUGGGCGGAAUUCGUGGUGUAGCGGUGAAAUGCUUAGAUAUCACGAAGAACUCCGAUUGCGAAGGCAGCUCACUGGACUGCAACUGACACUGAUGCUCGAAAGUGUGGGUAUCAAACAGGAUUAGAUACCCUGGUAGUCCACACAGUAAACGAUGAAUACUCGCUGUUUGCGAUAUACAGUAAGCGGCCAAGCGAAAGCAUUAAGUAUUCCACCUGGGGAGUACGCCGGCAACGGUGAAACUCAAAGGAAUUGACGGGGGCCCGCACAAGCGGAGGAACAUGUGGUUUAAUUCGAUGAUACGCGAGGAACCUUACCCGGGCUUAAAUUGCAGUGGAAUGAUGUGGAAACAUGUCAGUGAGCAAUCACCGCUGUGAAGGUGCUGCAUGGUUGUCGUCAGCUCGUGCCGUGAGGUGUCGGCUUAAGUGCCAUAACGAGCGCAACCCUUAUCUUUAGUUACUAACAGGUUAUGCUGAGGACUCUAGAGAGACUGCCGUCGUAAGAUGUGAGGAAGGUGGGGAUGACGUCAAAUCAGCACGGCCCUUACGUCCGGGGCUACACACGUGUUACAAUGGGGGGUACAGAAGGCAGCUAGCGGGUGACCGUAUGCUAAUCCCAAAAUCCUCUCUCAGUUCGGAUCGAAGUCUGCAACCCGACUUCGUGAAGCUGGAUUCGCUAGUAAUCGCGCAUCAGCCACGGCGCGGUGAAUACGUUCCCGGGCCUUGUACACACCGCCCGUCAAGCCAUGGGAGCCGGGGGUACCUGAAGUACGUAACCGCAAGGAUCGUCCUAGGGUA
rnacentral:rRNA from 1 species